CCUACGGGAGGCAGCAGUGAGGAAUAUUGGUCAAUGGGCGGGAGCCUGAACCAGCCAAGCCGCGUGAGGGAUGAAGGUACAGAGUAUCGUAAACCUCUUUUGUCAGGGAAAAAAGGCUGGGACGUGUCCCCGGAUGAGUGUACCUGAAGAAACAGCAUCGGCUCACUCCGUCCCAGCAGCCGCGGUAAUAGGCGGGAUGCGCUCGUUAUCCGGAUUUCUUGGGUUUAAAGGUGGCUAAGGGGGUCUGUUAGGUCAGCGUUCAAAGUUCGGGGCUAAACCCCGGACCGCCGUUGAUACUGGCAGUCUAGAGUGGAAGAGAGGUAGGCGGAAUUCGCGGUGUAGCGGUGAAAUGUUUAGAUAUCGCGCAGAACUCCGAUUGCGAAGGCAGCAUGC
rnacentral:rRNA from 1 species